rnacentral:rRNA from 1 species
UACGUAGAAGACUAGUGUUAUUCAUCUUUAAUAGGUUUAAAAGGGUACCUAGACGGUACUAAUUAGUCUUAAACAGGAUACGAUUAUACUAGAGUUAUAUAUGAGGAGGUGAGUAUUUAUGCAGUAGAGUUGAAAUUCGUUGAUAGCAUAACGACUGGUAACGGCGAAAGCAACCUUUUAUCUAAUAACUGACGUUGAGGGACGAAGG